AGGGAUAUAGCUCAAUGGUAGAGUGAUUGCCUACUGUGCAUUAGGCCCUGGGUUGAAUCCCCAGCACUGCCA
rfam:Ictidomys tridecemlineatus contig037391, whole genome shotgun sequence.